rnacentral:ribozyme from 1 species
CAAAAACACUCUACUGUAACGGGAUGGGAUCCAAAGAUUACUUAAGAUCUCAUCGAACUCCUAUCCCGAUACGUUCACGUCGUGCAGGAUGGUAACAGCCCAUCAGGUGGAUGAAGACGCAAGGCAAAAGAGGAAGGG